GAUGAACGCUGGCGGCGUGCCUAAUACAUGCAAGUCGAGCGAACAGACGAGGAGCUUGCUCCUCUGACGUUAGCGGCGGACGGGUGAGUAACACGUGGAUAACCUACCUAUAAGACUGGGAUAACUUCGGGAAACCGGAGCUAAUACCGGAUAAUAUAUUGAACCGCAUGGUUCAAUAGUGAAAGACGGUUUUGCUGUCACUUAUAGAUGGAUCCGCGCCGCAUUAGCUAGUUGGUAAGGUAACGGCUUACCACGGCAACGAUGCGUAGCCGACCUGAGAGGGGGAUCGGCCACACUGGAACUGAGACACGGUCCAGACUCCUACGGGAGGCAGCAGUAGGGAAUCUUCCGCAAUGGGCGAAAGCUUGACGGAGCAACGCCGCGUGAGUGAUGAAGGUCUUCGGAUCGUAAAACUCUGUUAUUAGGGAAGAACAAAUGUGUAAGUAACUAUGCACGUCUUGACGGUACCUAAUCAGAAAGCCACGGCUAACUACGUG
rnacentral:rRNA from 1 species